rnacentral:rRNA from 1 species
UACAGAGGGUGCGAGCGUUAAUCGGAAUUACUGGGCGUAAAGCGUGCGUAGACGGUUAUCUAAGUCGGAUGUGAAAGCCCCGGGCUCAACCUGGGAAUUGCAUUCGAGACUGAAUAGCUAGGGUACGGUAGAGGGAAGUGGAAUUUCCGGUGUAGCGGUGAAAUGCGUAGAGAUCAGCAGGAAUACCCGUGGCGAAGGCGGCCCCCUGGGCCGUACCUGACGCUGAGGCGCGAAGGCUAGGGGAGCGAACGGG